UACGUAGGGUGCGAGCGUUGUCCGGAAUUACUGGGCGUAAAGAGCUCGUAGGUGGUUUGUCGCGUUUGUUCGUGAAAACCGGGGGCUUAACCCUCGGCGUGCGGGCGAUACGGGCAGACUUGAGUACUGCAGGGGAGACUGGAAUUCCUGGUGUAGCGGUGAAAUGCGCAGAUAUCAGGAGGAACACCAAUGGCGAAGGCAGCUCGCUGGAACGGUACUGACGCUGAGGCGCGAAAGCGUGGGGAGCAAACAGG
rnacentral:rRNA from 1 species